rnacentral:rRNA from 1 species
AGUGAACGCUGGCGGUAGGCCUAGCACAUGCAAGUCGAACGGCAGCACAGGAGAGCUUGCUCUCUGGGUGGCGAGUGGCGGACGGGUGAGGAAUACAUCGGAAUCUACUCUGUCGUGGGGGAUAACGUAGGGAAACUUACGCUAAUACCGCAUACGACCUACGGGUGAAAGCAGGGGACCUUCGGGCCUUGCGCGAUUGAAUGAGCCGAUGUCGGAUUAGCUAGUUGGCGGGGUAAAGGCCCACCAAGGCGACGAUCCGUAGCUGGUCUGAGAGGAGGAUCAGCCACACUGGAACUGAGACACGGUCCAGACUCCUACGGGUGGCAGCAGUGGGGAAUAUUGGACGAUGGGCGCAAGCCUGAUCCAGCCAUACCGCGUGGGUGAAGAAGGCCUUCGGGUUGUAAAGCCCUUUUGUUGGGAAAGAAAUUCAGCUGGCUAAUACCCGGUUGGGAUGACGGUACCCAAAGAAUAAGCACCGGCUAACUUCGUGCCAGCCGCCGCAGUAA